rnacentral:tRNA from 1 species
GUCCAGGGGCGGGAUUCGAACCCACAACCUUCUGCUUACCGGGCAGGUGCCAUGUCCACUAGGCUACCCUGGA